UGAGAGCUGGGGAUCCAGAGUGGGGCUGGCACCAAGAGACUGGGGUGGGCAGGAGAUGUCUGGGGUUGGGGGCAGCUGGGGCAGGGGGAGUCCUUCAGGGGGGCAGGGGACAGGAACAUCUGCAGGCCCAUGUCAGGACCCCCGGGUGGUGUGGGGGACCCACAGCAGGGCUGCGGGGGUCUGGGGCAAGAGGACGGGUCCUGAGUGGGGCUGGAGCUGGGCACAGUGAUGAGAUAUCCCUGCCCUGUCACCGUGGGCCUUGCCAUAUUAAGAAAGGGCUGAAGCAGGAGCCACACCUGCUGCUGUUCCCUUCCUGCAGGAUGGAACACGGACCCCCAAUCCAACCCCAAGAAGCUGGGUCAGAGAGGCCAAGGGCACCUCACACCCCCAUGGCCCAGCAGGGGUCUGGCAAGGUGUGUGAGGUGCAGCCCCUGCAGGUUCCUUCAUGCUCAGCUGAGGGUCCCUCUGCCUCAGACUUGUCACCACAGCAGGAGGAUCCCCUGAGCUGCAUCCGUGCCUGCUGUGCACACAGACCGCAGACACAGGCACAGAAGCUGAGAUUUCUGGCCUCCAUCUGUGCUGUCUGCAAAGCCUCCCUCGAGGACUGCGGUGCACAUUACCGGCUGUGUGUCUGCCCGCUAGAGGUGGCGCAGUGCAUUGAGGCGCUGCUGCAGGAGGAGCCCGCCGAGCACCUGGACACGGAGCUCCGGCAGCAGGCCAUGAGCACCAUCGCCGCCAUGAGUGGAGCAUGGCUGCUUCCAGAGGAGAAGAACGGUCUCCUGCGUGCCUGCCUCGGCAGCGUCCUCCACCUCCCUCGCUACGAGGACGACGCGGACCUGGAUGCGGCACUCUACGUGGAGACCAUGGAAGCCCUGCACCACCUGCUGCAGGUGCUGGUCCUUCUGAAAUACCUCCUGUACCCUGAAAAGGUCAACAUUUUACUCACAGCCAUUGAGAGCAUGAAAGCACCGAGCCUCCACAGCACCCAGCUGGCUGCCCACAUGGUGGAUGUGCUCGCAGGAGAGGCUCACUUCCCUCCAGGGCAGGUGGGAACCUGCUGCUGCCUCAGCUCCAGCCCUCGGGGCUCUGCUCCAUCCCUGCACUGCGCUUGGCCGGCAGGCAGCAGUGGGGAUGGCAGCAGGGCCCAUCCCUCCAUCACCCUCCAGGUGCAAAAGAUUGUGAAGGCGAUCCACAGCAGCCUGCCUUCCAUCAAAGCCAAGCCAGCUCUUGAAAGCCUGAGCAGGGCCUUGCUUGUGCUGGCCAGCAAAUUCCCAAAGGAGAUGGUCAGCAGCCUGCUGGUCUGCUCUCUCACCUGCUCCAGGUAUGGGGCCACAGCCCUCAGGGCUCCUCUGUCAGCCAGGCAGGAGCAGCCACGCUGA
rnacentral:lncRNA from 1 species